CAUUAGGUUAAAUAUAUCCCAGCAUGCCUUAGGUCUGGCCCCUACGCCCCGUUAUUGAGGUGGGUGUCAUCACUGCUGUACCCUCCA